GCCAGCCCUUUCCAAAGUUCUAACUGCCUGGCCAGCCCAACUGCGAGUCCCCCCACCGAUUUACCAGCGGUUUAUUCUUCCCACCCCCCAUCCCCGCGAGCCCAGUACAAUGAGGCAGCCCCGUAACUGCUGCAAAGAUUCCUGCUUCUUGAUUGUUACUCUGCCGCCAACAGUCAUCGCACCCCAGUCCCGAGGUAACAACAAAAACGGAGUGGACAAGGGUAUGAACCUGUAAGAGCUGAAAGCAAAGAAGAUCUAAAGUCGUGUUCUUUCCAGUUCCCAGUUCCAGCUAUGCAAUUUUUUUUGGUCUGGAUUGCCAGAAUAAUAAUACAAGGUACUGGUCUCCAUGGCAAAGUGAAUACUCAGUAGGUAAUGAACUUUAUGGACAUACAAAACUGAAAAGCUUCCAGAUCAAAGAAGAGCCCAUGAAUGCUGUGGGGAGCCCUGCCUAUAUCUGAGAAGUGGCCCUCUGGGACAGGGUUUGAGGACCCCUUAGAAUCCUAUCUCCUGCCCCUCACCAGCCCCUCAGGACUGCAUCAGAGAACUAAACCAUUCACCAGCUCUGGCAUAGCCUGGUCAAGUCAACUUUCCCAGGGGCACUGGUAACUCCUUGGUCUAUGGAGGCUGCUUUCUUACUAGGUGAGAGGCGUCUGUCCAUCAGUCAGUACGAUGUGCUCUACAGAUUGUACUCAGUGCCUGGGUUUGGCACUCCUGCCUCUGGCGAUGAUGAGCAUAUUCCUUAAUAGUCUCCUCUUCUUCCCUGGAAUGCAGUUUGUAUCAUCUGACAAAAUUCCCGAUGAGGCCUGGAGGUUUGGAGGAUUUCUGGGAAGUGGGAUCUUGAUAUUUUUCCCUGCUGUUGUGUACUUUCGGCUAAAGAACUUUGACUGCUGGGGAUGCUUUAACCAUCCUGCAUUUGGGAGGUCACUUUCAGUAAAAUUUCAAUGCCGUAAUAUUUUCAUGUGUUGGAAUCCUAGGAUCAGCAUAUGGAUUAUUAAUAGCAUUGUUUGCUAUUUAUAGGGGUCCCAAAUGUUUUGUAGGAGCUGAUAAAUGGGAAUAUCCCUUCCAUAAAGGGAACUAUGUAGUCGAUUUGAAAUUUUGGAAAGACUGCAAAAGUCCUCCCCAUAUUGUGCCCUGGCACUUGAGUAUUUUCAUCAUUCAGGGGCUAGUAAGUACCACUGAGUUGGUAAUUUGCACCAGUGAGCUGAUCACUGGUCUCUUAGGAACAAUCUUUGCAUCAGAAAAGUGCCCAUGGGCAUACAGGGAGGUAUAGAGCUGCUGGACUCUUUAUAACAUUCUACUAUGCUUGCAGAAGAUCUAAGAAUACCCCUUUUCAUUAUCUUUGGAAAGAUCCUCAUCUGUACACUCCAUGAGAAGGACUGGAGAAAGGAUAGCCUUGUUGCUUUCUCAUCUAUGCAACAACCUUUCUGGAUGUCAACUGAAGUUAAAAAUCACACGUUAAAAGAUCAACAAGCUGUUGUCCAAGAGCAAUACAUGAAACAAUCUCUCUGGCUACUCUCCACAUUUUUAUGCUUCUACUCAUCCUUUGGCUUUCCCAGACAAUAGCUACUUCCUCUAGGUCUAGUGAUUAACCUUUCGGUGGCUAUUCCUAUUGCUAUAUAGCUCCUGAGCCCCCACCAGUGUGUUUCCUAUU